UGGCUCAGACGGUAGAGCAUUUGCCUGCAAUGCGAGAGACCUGGGUUCGAUCCCUG
rnacentral:tRNA from 1 species